rnacentral:rRNA from 1 species
GACGAACGCUGGCGGCGUGCUUAACACAUGCAAGUCGAACGGAAAGGCCCUGCUUUUGUGGGGUGCUCGAGUGGCGAACGGGUGAGUAACACGUGAGUAACCUGCCCUGACUUUGGGGUAACCUCAGGAAACUGGGGCUAAUACCGGAUAGGAGCUCCCGCUGCAUUGUGGGGGGUGGAAAGUUUCGGCGGUUGGGGAUGGACUCGCGGCUUAUCAGCUUGUUGGUGGGGUAGUGGCUUACCAAGGCUUUGACGGGUAGCCGGCCUGAGAGGGUGACCGGCCACAUUGGGACUGAGAUACGGCCCAGACUCCUACGGGAGGCAGCAGUGGGGAAUAUUGCACAAUGGGCGGAAGCCUGAUGCAGCAACGCCGCGUGCGGGAUGACGGCCUUCGGGUUGUAAACCGCUUUCGCCUGUGACGAAGCGUGAGUGACGGUAAUGGGUAAAGAAGCACCGGCUAACUACGUG